AUCCAAGACAAUUCUAAGCAAGGAGUGAGCUGCAAUAAAAUCUACCUUACUUGUCUAGUAUAAGAAUAUACCUUAUUAGUUAUAUCAUAAUUUAAGCUGAUCCAACUAGAAAGCUAACCUCUAAAUCCUCUUAUACUUUUAAAACAGCUAAGACAAAAAAAGAAAGAUGACAAGGUUCGUAUCAAGAAUUUGUAUUAAUCUCUAAGGAACAAUUACAAGUCAGAGUGAAUUAUUAGACAUUCUUGUGCAUGGGACACCUAUGCAUCAAUAAAGGUAACUUUAAUAAGUAUUCUUACUAUUUUUCUCCUUAUGAAUGAUGUGAUUUUCCCUAAACAAAGAAGAUUAGUACCCAAAAAAAAUUCGGUUCGAGGUGGGGUACACCCCUCACAUGUUUCAACAAUUGUCCUAGAGAAGCUAUGUAUGUGAAAUCACUUAUAAUUAAACGGUAGGACUAGAAUAUUUCUUGUUCUGUAUUCACACGCUACUUGUGAUGUGAUUUUCUCUGGACAAAAAAGAUUAGUACCAAAAACAAAUCAGUCCAGUGGGGUACACCCUGUUAGUUUGAAGACCAUGUUUAGUGGCAGUCCAGACCCAGACGCAGCAACUAGAGCAGGCCCAGCCC
rnacentral:lncRNA from 1 species